rnacentral:rRNA from 1 species
CCUACGGGGGGCAGCAGUGAGGAAUAUUGGUCAAUGGACGAGAGUCUGAACCAGCCAAGUAGCGUGAAGGAUGACUGCCCUAUGGGUUGUAAACUUCUUUUAUAUGGGAAUAAAAUGUUCCACGUGUGGGAUUUUGUAUGUACCAUAUGAAUACGGAUCGGCUAACUCCGUGCCAGCAGCCGCGGUAAUACGGAGGAUCCGAGCGUUAUCCGGAUUUAUUGGGUUUAAAGGGAGCGUAGGUGGAUUGUUAAGUCAGUUGUGAAAGUUUGCGGCUCAACCGUAAAAUUGCAGUUGAAACUGGCAGUCUUGAGUACAGUAGAGGUGGGCGGAAUUCGUGGUGUAGCGGUGAAAUGCUUAGAUAUCACGAAGAACUCCGAUUGCGAAGGCAGUUCACUGGACUGCAACUGACACUGAGGCGCGAAAGUGUGGGUAUCAAACAGGAUUAGAUACCCUUGUAGUC